UACGUAGGGUGCGAGCGUUGUCCGGAAUUAUUGGGCGUAAAGGGCUCGUAGGCGGUCUGUCACGUCGGGAGUGAAAACUCAGGGCUCAACCCUGAGCCUGCUUCCGAUACGGGCAGACUAGAGGUAUGCAGGGGAGAACGGAAUUCCUGGUGUAGCGGUGAAAUGCGCAGAUAUCAGGAGGAACACCGGUGGCGAAGGCGGUUCUCUGGGAAUGUCCUGACGCUGAGGAGCGAAAGUGUGGGGAGCGAACAGG
rnacentral:rRNA from 1 species